ACGGAAGGCAGCAGUGGGGAAUAUUGCACAAUGGGCGAAAGCCUGAUGCAGCGACGCCGCGUGAGUGAAGAAGUAUCUCGGUAUGUAAAGCUCUAUCAGCAGGGAAGAAAAUGACGGUACCUGACUAAGAAGCCCCGGCUAACUACGUGCCAGCAGCCGCGGUAAUACGUAGGGGGCAAGCGUUAUCCGGAUUUACUGGGUGUAAAGGGAGCGUAGACGGUUUGGCAAGUCUGAAGUGAAAUGCGGGGGCUCAACUCCUGAACUGCUUUGGAAACUGUCGAACUAGAGUGCAGGAGAGGUAAGUGGAAUUCCUAGUGUAGCGGUGAAAUGCGUAGAUAUUAGGAAGAACACCAGUGGCGAAGGCGAUCUACUGGACAGUAACUGACGCUGAGGCGCGAAAGCGUGGGGAGCAAACAGGAUUAGAUACCCUGGUA
rnacentral:rRNA from 1 species